AUGGUCGGCGUGGCGAGAGGGCUGGCCUACCUGCACCACGGUUGUCACGAGUGCAUCAUACACUGCGACAUUAAGCCGGAGAACAUCCUACUGGACGGGAACAUGUCUCCAAGAAUCGCCGACUUCGGGAUGGCGAAGCUGGUGGGGAGGGACUUCAGCCACGCGCUGACGACAAUGCGGGGCACCAUCGGGUAUCUGGCGCCGGAGUGGAUCUCCGGGCAGCCCAUCAGUGCCAAGGCCGAUGUGUACAGCUUAGGAAUGGUGCUCUUUGAGCUCAUCUCGGGACGACGAAACUCUGAGGGGUCUAGCAUGGUGGAGGCGGCAAGGAGCGGGAGCAGUGAUUCAUGGACCUUCUUCCCCGUGUGGGCUGCCGGCAAGGUCGUCCAAGGGGAGGUGGGCGCCGUGGCAGACCCACGGCUGCGCGGCAACGUGAAGCCCGAGGAGCUAGAGCGGGCGUGCUGGUGCAUUCAGGACCAGGAGGCACAGCGGCCGAGCAUGGCGCAGGUCGUGCAGGGGCUGGAGGGCGCCAUCCAGGUCCACGCGCCGCCGGUGCCGCAGGCUCUGCAGCACCUUCUCACGUCCACCUAA
rnacentral:rRNA from 1 species